UCUUGUUACAUCUGAUGUUAAAAUUUGUUGAUUUGAUUCAGGGUUUCUCUGCUGGAUGCCCCCAGACAAUGAAUGCUCUAACCUUUGUUUACUGGAGAUCCUGGCCUUUGCAAAUAAAAGUUCUAAAUUAGUCAUGGACCGUAAAGAAAGAGGUACACAUACAUGAAAAAUUCUGCAGAAGUCAGAUGAAAAACUGGACCAGACAGAUCAUUCCACUAAUCAAAUGUACACAGGUCGGGAGGAGUAGAGGGACAGCACAGGCUGUGAAACAACCUACCGACAGCUAGCCCAUAAACUGGGUAGGCUGUUUAAAGCAGAAAUGUUCCCUAUGGUGUCAGGUGACCUGCUUCUCAAUCAAUGCCUUACACAUAGCUCAGAGCACAGGACUAGACUCAUCAUGGGGCUGAGUGGAAGUUCCUGCCAACCUCAGGUCAGCUUCCUUGGAAGGUCACCCAUCUAUACUCGAAGAGAUCAGUGUUGGAGUUAUAUUCCUGGGAUACCAAUGCUCUGUGGAACUACAACACACACCGUGCUGGUUCUAACUAGUUGCACCCAGAAGCCUUUCUUCAUCUUCCACAUCUACUCAGUCAUGUGAUAUCUUCAAACUAUACACACAAUACUUAAAUCCUCCAAUAUCGCCCCCCCAUCACUCUGUGAAUGGGAGCCUGGAAAAGUAGAGUUAUCUCUGUCAUCCAACAGCAACUGGUCCUCAGGAGCACCAGGAAAUUCUCAAUCAUGAGAAAGACACCUGACUUCCCAGAAAAACACCACAAUUCCCAAGAACACAUCUCUGUCAUAUGUGCUCAUCAUGAGUAGCUUCCUAAUGCCAUGCAGUGACCAAAGAAAUUCCUCACAUUUCAAGAGUUCUCCAUAUUUUAUUUUCAUAGGAUUUAACUUCCUUCAAGCUGUGUCAUCAUGUUUUAUCGCUCCUCCCAACUCUCAAAGUGCUAGUACCUAAAUUAAUCCUGUUCCCAUUGAUGGCAUUUUCCUAUGCUUCCAGUGAAGUGGUGACAACAUUGUAUUUAAAUCUCAGUUAUGACCUCAAAUGAUCCUGUUACCAACCUUUUACCAUCGAAGUGGAAAAUUCCAAGCUAUUCCUAAGGACUGCAAGGGCCUGCAAGGUUUAGAUGGGAGGGGGAGAGCAGUGAUAGUGGGCUUUCCAGAACAUAGGAAUGAAGAUCGGUUUUGAUACCUCCAUCAUUGGAAUGGAGAUGAAGAGACAAAAGAUGUGAGAGGAUUCAGAA